rnacentral:tRNA from 3 species
UGGUGGAGCUAAGCGGGAUCGAACCGCUGACCUCCUGCGUGCAAGGCAGGCGCUCUCCCAGCUGAGCUAUAGCCCC